CUUUUAAACGAGUCUCCAUCAAAGUGCUAGGUAUAGUACAUAAUUUUAGAUUCAUAAUGCCCCAGCAAGCAUUUACAAUGAGGUUUCAAAAUAGCAGUUCCAUGUUUUUUUUAUUUCGUUUUCAUCAAAGUGCUAAUUGGAACUCGAGACGGACUCCCUAUUGUUGCUGUCAGCGCUGAAAGCCAGUCAACCUUGCGACAGUUUAAAGUGAUAAAAGUGCAGUGCUUCUAUCGAUAAAGUGACACAACUUCGCUUCGAAAAUGACAUGUUAACUUGAACUGGUCUCAAAUGAAUUUUACCAUGUGAUAUUUUGUAAACCAGCCGACGUGCACAGCGAAGUUGUGCGAUCGUCACGAACUCUACUCACAAACUGAUUACUCAAAGUGCAUGCAGUCGAUUAACUACUAAAAGUAAAUGCCAAAUAGCUGGUCGGAGUAGCUAGAGCGCGGCGGAGACCACGCAUAUAAAAUGCAUUAUUAAACAAAGUGGCGAGCUGAGUGUGGCAGUGAGCGUGCCCUGGGCAGUCAA